AUUGAACGCUGGUGGCAGGCCUAACACAUGCAAGUCGAACGCGUGGCGGACGGGUGAGUCAUGUCUGGGAACCUGCCUGAUGGAGGGGGAUAACUCCUGGAAACGGUAGUUAAUACCGCAUACCAUCAGAUGUGCCCUGAUGGCAUUAGCUUGUUGGUGGGGUAACGGCUAACCAAGGCGACGAUCCCUAGAUGGUCUGAGAGGAUGACCAGCCACACUGGAACUGAGACACGGUCCAGAUGCCUACGGGAGGCAGCAGUGGGGAAUAUUGCACAAUGGGCGCAAGCCUGAUGCAGCCAUGCCGCGUGUAUGAAGAAGGCCUUCGGGUUGUAAAGUACUUUCAGCGGGGAGGCGUUACCCGCAGAAGAAGCACCGGCUAACUCCGUGCCAGCAGCCGCGGUAAUAC
rnacentral:rRNA from 1 species